rnacentral:rRNA from 1 species
AUAAAUUUUAUUAUUUUAAUUAUUGGUAUUGCAUACUAUUAAAAGAAAAUUUUAUUAAUAUAAAAUAUAGAAAUAGAGAGUAGAAUCUAUAUUAUUUAUAUUGUUUCAUAAUAUUAAUUAUAUAGUACUAGAGUUGAAAAGUCGUUCUUUAUUAUAACUGUUUAAAAAUAUAUAUUAGAAAUUUAUAUUAUUUAUUAUUAUUUUUUAUAAGUCAAUAAGUUGAAGUAUUAUAUUUUCAGGUUUUAUAACUUUUUAUAUCAUAAUAAAAUUGUUAAAUUUUAAAUUAUAUUAUUAAAUUGUUUAAUAAUUAAAGUAUUUUUAAAUUAGUAAGUUUUAUUUAUAUAAUUUGUAUUUUUAAUUUGACAUGAUAAAUCAAAAUUUAAUCAAAUGUUUUUUAAAGACUUAGACUUUAUUUUAAAGUUUGCUUCUGCCCAAUGAUAUUUUUAAUGGCAGUCUUAGCGUGAGGACAUUAAGGUAGCAAAAUAAUUUGUGCUUUUAUUGAGUUCCAGUAUGAAUGAAGUUAUUGGUUAUUUAUUUUCUUGUCUUAUUAUUGAAUUUUUAUUUAUAUAAAAAAUUAUAUGUGUAAUUAAACAAAGAUAAGUCUUCGGAAAUUCUUUUUGGUAAUUGAUAAUUUUAUUAUCUUUAUUAAAAUUUUCUAGGGCAGAAAUUUAAAUAAUUAAUUAUUUCUAUUAAUAAAUUAUAGAAUUACUCCGGAGUUAACAGAAAAUCAUAUCAAAUCUAGUUCUUAUAGUAUGAUAAGUUUUACAUCGAUGUUGUAUUUAAGUAUAUUAAGAAAGGAGAAGAUUUAAAUAUUAAGACUGUUCUUCUUUUAAUUAACUUAACGUGAUAUUAGUUUAAUUCAU